UGGGGAAUUUUGGACAAUGGGGGCAACCCCGAUCCAGCAAUGCCGCGUGAGUGAUGAAGGCCUUAGGGUUGUAAAGCUCUUUUGCCGGGGACGAUAAUGACGGUACCCGGAGAAUAAGUCCCGGCUAACUUCGUGCCAGCAGCCGCGGUAAUACGAAGGGGACUAGCGUUGUUCGGAAUCACUGGGCGUAAAGCGCACGUAGGCGGAUUUGUAAGUCAGGGGUGAAAUCCCGGGGCUCAACCUCGGAACUGCCUUUGAUACUGCGGAUCUCGAGUCCGAUAGAGGUGAGUGGAAUUCCUAGUGUAGAGGUGAAAUUCGUAGAUAUUAGGAAGAACACCGGUGGCGAAGGCGGCCCACUGGAUCGGUACUGACGCUGAGGUGCGAAAGCGUGGGGAGCAAACAGGAUU
rnacentral:rRNA from 1 species